CAAAUCAACAUGGGCCAGGAACUAGGGUUUCUCGUGGACUGCCUCUAUAUAUCAUCCGGAUUUCCAGAGCCUCCAGGAUUGUGUCAAAGCAGCGUCACUCGCGAAAUGCUUCGAUCGGCGUUGGAAAUUGCCAUCUGAGAUGGGGCUCAUCAAGCUCCAGUCUCCAACGUCAAACAGGCAUAUGGGUUUCUCUCGCCUUCAUCGCCUUUGUGAUUCUUUUUCUCUUACACUUUUGCAUGCUGGGUUCUUUGCUAUGGACUAUAUACUAUCCAUGACAAUUGAAACGUUAGUAUCUAUUAUGUUUCGCUCAUUGUCAUCUUGCAAUCCAGUUUUAGUUUUAUUUACCAUUAUCGUUUUGAGGAGUAUGGAUUUUGAUGAUUAAUCCGGGGUAUGGUGUAAUGGUUGAUGGGCAUUGCACUUUAAUCAUAGGCCUUCUCUCUGAUAUUUGAUAGUUUGGCCUGAGCAAGGUGCAGAAAGUGAAAUUUAUUCAGCCAUCUUAUUUUGAUGGUUAGUGAUGGAUCCACAGGUAUGAGGCUUUGGGAUUGCACUUGUAUCGUAGGUCUCUCUUACUCAAUAGGGUGGCCUUGAGCUUCAGUGCACAGAGUGAAAGCUGUUUAAUCAGCAGGCAGCCAGACAACUGCUGAGAUGGAUCCACAGAUUAACAGCUCAAAGUGCUGUUGUCUACUAAUUCCAUCUCACAAUUUUGUAAUCAUUUUAAUUCCAAAGCCAUGGGACUCCGUACUAUUAUUUGAACUAUUUUGCAUUCUUUCGGUAACUUAUGAUUCAAAAGUGCCCAGGAUGGUAGUAUGGUAAUAACCUUCAUAUUGCAAGUCUUGUUGAAAGCCGGAUAACUUGGUCUUAAGUUCUAUUGUUGUGGAACAUACAGGGAUAACAAAAACCAAAUAAAGAUCUAAUUGUGCACAAUAAAAACUUGAAGUACCAAUCCUAAUUAAGUAAUGCAAAAGAACAUUGCAUUGAUUCAAACAUCAAAAUUGAUAACGGAAGCCUAAUCUUGACAUUAUUUUAAUGUAGUUAAUGACCAUUCAGAACACGGAAAACAAUUUAAAAUGUGUUUUUUCAGACCCUGCACUGCUGCCUGCUGGUGGUCUUAUAGUCAAUUAUUUUACUUUUCGGAACGUGAAGUAUGUGGAGAUGGGCAAAUCUGAGACUUGCUAAAUGUUGGUGUGGGAUCAGUAUUUAUGUCUUUCGCAAAGCAAGAUCCAUGGUUGCUAUACGUAGUAAUGAGGAAAGCGAGGGAGGUCCUAAAGUUCCACUUAGCCAUCGUAGACUUGACAACUUAUGUAUGUUAGAUUUCGCAGUUCAUAAUGAUCCCAGCAUUUUGUGCAGAUUAUUUUUUGUAAAUUUGACGCUGCCGAAAUGUUGCAUGGCUAUUACGGAUCUUGAGACUUGAGAAUGUUCAGCCGGGCUAGCAAAAAUGAAAAAGAAUUCUUGUUUUA